AACCCAGACGCACUCACCGUGGACUAAGAGAAACAGAAAAGAAUGCUCCUCACAGCACGGCGUGUAGAUUAGGUCAACAGUGGUGUCUCGAAGUGGGAUGAGCAGAAAAGCAUCAUACCUACGCACUCCCACCCUUCCGCUGCCCACAGUCUGGUAGAACUUUCCUAGUCCCCGGGACAGCUGGAGCAGAGCAUCUGAGCCCUGAGCUGGGACACCUCCACCUUCACACCUUAUCCAUACCCAGCUUCCUCGGCUCUCUGCCCAUAUAACACUUGUCAGCUGCUGUCUUUUCACUGGUUCCUGAAAGGAAAAAAGACAUGUCUUGUUUCCUCCAGUCUCUGGGUUCCGAAUUCCUCCUGCAGAGUUGAGGCUCAAGAAAUGUUGACUGAUCUGGUCCUUACCGUUAAUCCCAGCACUUGGAAGUCAGGUGAAUCUCUGAGAUCAAGGCCAGCCAGUUCUUCGGAGUGAGUUCCAGAAUAAUCAGGGCUACAUAAAGAAACCCUGUCUCCAAAUAAAAAAAAAAAAGAAAAGAGAAAAGAAAAAGAAAGAAUAAAAGAAAUGUCAGCUGAGAGCUGACAAGAAGCUAAAU
ensembl:lncRNA